CAAGGAAAGAAGCAAUAAUAACCGCGCGGUAUUCGUUGCGGAAUCUGUCAAAAAUGGAAAGGAGAAAGCAUUGGCGUAGGCUGAGGACAUGCAAUGGGUGGGUGAUGUCACGGCGAGGUGAAGGGCGUUGUUGGGCUGGUUUGGCACGCCGUGGUGAGGUGUGACAACGGUAUGAGAAAGGCCCGUCAGAGUCAUUGACCGAAUUCUGUGAGGGAACGUUGUAUUUUUAUUAUUAUUUUUGGCCGUUUGGGGAGGCCCCACAUUGUGCUCCGUUGCCAUGCCUCCCGCUGCUGUACUGUGUCGUUGCUGUGAUUUUAUGUAGCACUCGAGUCUCAGCUCCAACCAGGUUGAUAUUCGGUGUCUGCGGUUGGGCCGGAGGGAUUAGGAGCCUAUGCAUUAGUUAGGGUUUUUCGGGGAUUGGUGGUCUUCGUGUCAUUGAGUGAAGUCUAAUGGUGGGGUUGGUGUUGCAAUGAGUAUAUGUUGGUUGUUCUUGCCUUUCGCGUUAGGGAUUAGGAUUUUGCUGUCAGUUAGGUUGAGUCGGAUUCCCAUUAUUGUACUGUUCUCAGUGUAUCAGCGCAGAAGAGUGGUUUGGCGUGUGCCAGGAAUCUAGCUUGUUCUGUAUGGAGAAUCGAUGGUGUAUUCACGGAAGGUCCUCGAAUUACGGUUGUAAUUUGGGUCGGGAAUUGUCGCAGUAGGUCGAUUGCAAUCUGAUACUGGAACCAGCUCCUCGCUCUCAAAAUCAUGGAUUUUACCGUUCGAAGAUUUGUAUGAAACUCUUCACGAAUGCAGCUGGGAUGUCCACUGAAGUGCUGAGCAUGAAGACCCGGCAAUGCAGGACUCUGUUUCAGUAAAUGUGUCAGUGCUGCUCUAAAUGCAACUUUGAUGCUCUGGAUUCCCGGUCAUUUUAACAAUGUCACCGAUAGUAUGCGUUAAAAGAGCUUGAGUUGAAGACCCGAUGGACAGGGUUUGCCAACGAUGGUUGUGAAGGCUGCCUUGAUCGAAUCUAUAUUCUCAGUCCUCCAACAUCAAGCCCUGGGCCCGGAGGUUGUUGAUUCUGUGGCAAUGGCAGUUGGAGAGCCAACUGGCGCGAAGAGAUAUGUCAAAGGUCACAAUCUCGGUGAGGGGACAUAUGGUGUCGUUUUCAAGGCUGUUGACACAGUGACAAACAGGACAGUAGCUAUCAAAAAGAUAAGAUUGGGAAAGCUAAAGGAAGGUGUGAAUGUGACAGCCUUGAGGGAGAUUAAACUUCUGAAGGAAUUACAAGAUCCAAACAUAAUUGAGCUGAUGGAUGUAUAUCCACACAAGAGCAACUUGCACCUCGUAUUUGAAUAUAUGGAGAGUGAUUUAGAAGCAGUGAUCCGGGAUCGAAACAUAUUUCUCUCUUCUGCCGACUGCAAGGCCUAUAUGCAAAUGAUUCUCAAGGGACUUGCGGUUUGCCACAAGAAGUGGGUGCUUCACAGGGAUUUGAAACCAAAUAAUCUUUUACUUGGUUCCAAUGGGCAGCUUAAGCUUGCCGAUUUUGGAUUAGCUCGUAUCUUUGGAAGUCCCGAUCGAAGGUUCACUCAUCAGGUCUUUGCACGGUGGUAUCGUGCACCUGAAUUGUUAUUCGGCUCCAAACAGUAUGGACCAGGUGUAGACGUGUGGGCCGCAGCAUGUAUUUUCGCGGAACUCAUUCUUCGUCGCCCUUUCCUCCAGGGCUCCAGCGAUAUUGAUCAACUGGGGAAGAUUUUUGGAGUCUUUGGAACUCCUGGGGAAGCCCAAUGGCCGGAUGUGACCAGCCUUCCUGAUUACGUUGAGUACCAGUACUCUCCACCUCAGUCUUUCCGUAGUCUUUUCCCGCAGGCAAGUGAGGACUGCAUUGACCUUCUUCAACGAAUGUUCACCUACGAUCCAAAACAAAGAAUUACUGCCCAGCUAGCACUGGAGCAUAGAUAUUUUAGGACUGAGCCUGCACCAACACCAUGUUAUAUGCUUCGAAGGCCGGUAAAGCCGGAAGUACAUCCAAAGCCCAUUGAGCUUUUAUCUCCAGCUGGACACAUUGUCUUUUCUCCUCCCACCAAGACACGUCGUCUUCAGCUAUUUGGUGGGGAUAUCAAAACAGCAGGUGAAGCGAGCCGGGAUACACACGCCAAGCUGCAACCGGAGUUGGGAACUCCAAUUGAUGCUAUCACUAUCCCUAUGUCAAUAGAUCCGAAAACAAAUCUUCGACCCACUCUCAACAGUUCCGAUAGAUCAUAUUUGAAGAGGAAGCUAGAUAUGGAUAUUUUUCUUACUCCUGCACGGCGAUAAAGAUUACCAUGCAUCAAUUACACAAAUCUGUCAUUACUUCAUGGGGUCUUUUGUAUCUACCAAGACGACCCGUAGAGACUUAGAUGAGAGAAUUAGCGUGAAGUGGACCGAAUCACGAGCGCAAAUGCAGAGAGUUAGAUUUCACUCUAGACCAAGGGUCAAGGAAAUUGAACGUCAAAGAUUUUUGUGUAGGUCUCAAGCAUCAGAGACCUGAAAUAGAGUCGAUUGAUCAGAAGUAAGUUUCGGGCAUAGUGUACAGAUAAAGAAGAGGGCUGGAAGAUAAGCGAUGCAAUGUGCACAGUCAUGCAGGACACUCAUGGCUGAAGCAUGCAAAGCAUUGAAUUAUUGGGCACAAAGCUUCCGCAUUGAUUUCAUGUUUGCCACAGAGGAACGUGGGGGUUAAACAGUGGUGUAGCAGAUUCUACAGUUAAGUCAUGCCGUUCAAUUGCAGGCACAGCAAGACGCUAAGUUCCUAUUGUGAGGUCUCACUCAUCCUUUGUCAACAUUCUGGGCAGUGACACAGACAUGCCGGUCGAAGCUAGCGGUUAGUGGAGCAGUUGCUUAGCGGUCAAGGACAUGAGCUGGUUCGAAUUCUGGUGAAUAAUUCAGCAUGCUGUGCAUUACAAGUUUAAACAUGCGCUCCAAUUCUACACUGCA